CCGGGUGAGUAACACGUAUCCAACCUGCCGUCUACUCUUGGACAGCCUUCUGAAAGGAAGAUUAAUACAAGAUGGCAUCAUGAGUUCACAUGUUCACAUGAUUAAAGGUAUUCCGGUAGACGAUGGGGAUGCGUUCCAUUAGAUAGUAGGCGGGGUAACGGCCCACCUAGUCUUCGAUGGAUAGGGGUUCUGAGAGGAAGGUCCCCCACAUUGGAACUGAGACACGGUCCAA
rnacentral:rRNA from 1 species